UACGUAGGGUGCAAGCGUUUGUCCGGAAUUAUUGGGCGUAAAGAGCUCGUAGGCGGUUUGUCGCGUCGGCUGUGAAAACUCGGGGCUCAACCCCGAGCCUGCAGUCGAUACGGGCAGACUAGAGUGCUGUAGGGGAGACUGGAAUUCCUGGUGUAGCGGUGAAAUGCGCAGAUAUCAGGAGGAACACCGGUGGCGAAGGCGGGUCUCUGGGCGAGUAACUGACGCUGAGGAGCGAAAGCGUGGGGAGCGAACAGG
rnacentral:rRNA from 1 species